CUGACAACCCACCUCGGAUGCCCAGGGGAAUGAGCUUCAUUUCCUGCCUUGUAACCUGAGCCAGGUCUUCCUCCAGCCCCUUGAAGAUAUGGUUAAAACGUUCUUUGUCAAUCAACGAGGUACCUGAGUCACAGAGAGGUUGAGGAACUUGCCCAAGACCACACAGCUAGUAAAUGGCAAAGCCAGGAUAUAAAAGCAAGCCCUCUGCCUCCAAAAUGCCCAAGAGCAGCUUGCCAAGUUGAGAACAAAUCAUUCCUUAUGGUCCAGUUAACUUUGACUCACUGGCUGAAAGGGGAUUACAUGACAAAGUCAAGAUGAUCAAAUGAUGGGAUUGGCCCAAGGCAAUAGCAUGGUGAAGUCAAAGUGAUCAAACAAGGAGCGGACCCUUCUGAGUCUCAACCAGAAUCACUCGAGAGCCAGGGGGCUCAGCUAGGGUCUUGGGGCAGGAAGCUCUGAUCUCCAGUCAUCCAAUGUGGUCAGCAUUCAUUGAAAUGGAACAGCCGAUCCUGGCAUAACAGUAAUCUGUAGCUACCCUUUCUGUAUAAGGGCAUUUUAGUCUCCUUAAAACUGGACUCAAAGUUCAGCUAUGAUUCCGAUGUAGUGUUUACUAUAUUUGGAGAAAAUGUAUGGAGUGUUGUUGUUUAUUUUAUUUGUCUGAUCCACCAGAGGCCCUGUUUAGAUUGUAUCAAAUUAUGCUUUCCCAACACUUAUUCCUUCCUUUCCCUUGUGGCUUUAUAGACAAAAACAAACAGCAAGCAGCAGGCAGGUGUUCUGUGUUAGGUCCUAGGGAUGGUGCUGAGAAAAGUGGGUGCAGUUCACAUAUCCUUUAGCUGGAGCCAGGGCCCCUGCUCACUCUGCACACCGCCCACUGGGCGGUUGAAAGUCUGUUGCACUGACGUGUCUUGUUAGUAAAUUCCUGACGUCGUGGACCAUAUGGGAAGCAGGUAGGAUUCACUAGGGCAGUGAGUCCCAGAAAGUGAAGGAACUGGGUCUAGAGGAAGGCAGUGGUACAUCUCUAGGCUCAGGACUCUGCUCUAAGGAGUCUGCCAGGCUCUGGGCUCCUUCCUGUCACCAUCAUGCUCUUCCUCGGAGGUAGCUGUCAUGGCCAGUAUUUAUUGUGCUGUCCAUACCCAGUCCAUCUGCUCUCAGUUGCCACCCAAACUACCCAGCCCCACUGCCUGCCUGAAAUAAAAGAAAAACUCCAAAUCCUUUGCCAGUUUCAAGUGGUGAAGAGGGCUGAAUCCAUCAUAGAUUUGCCUGUGGCCUCUAAGCAGCCCUUUCACCAGUAGCCAGAAGGAGGCAGAGGAAACACCAGGCCUGAGGAGGUGGGUGGCCUCCUCUCCCAGGCCUGACUCAGUUGUCCCCACUCGUCUAAUGGGUCAGUCCCAGGAAGGUCUGCAUCCACCUGGGCACCUCCCACCUCCAGCUCUGUGCUUGGCUCUUCCAGCCCGUGAAGGAGCAGGCACUGUGAUUGGCAUCCUGCCUUAGGGAAUAAUCUGAAAGUGUUGAAAAUGCAAAGGAAACAGUGAACGCAGAGUCCACUUCCAGGAAGCUUCCCGUUUAACUGGGAGAGAGGACCAAAGCACACCUUCCCAAGAAAACUGGACUUAAAAUGCUUCGUAACCAAAAAUACGUAAGGAAGGAAAAAAGUUUCGUGGUUAACAUCAACCCCAAACCAUGUGAAAUGCCGAAUGCUGUUUCCCCUCGUGGAACGGGCCGUGUUGACUGAGUCCUGCAUAUAGCACCCUGUUGUGACUUUGUUUACCUACCUUUGCUUAAACUUGCUUGGCCUUGACACCCUUUCUCCAAGCAGCAUCUCUUCAUAUGAGCUCCAAAGACCCACUUUGGGAAAUACUCUUCUAGAUGGAUCUCGGACCUUCCUCCUGCAAAGAGGUAUCAUAGGGACAAGGGGGAGUGAACGAAGGCACCCACUGCUCUCUUUCUAAUCUCCCCUCCGUUUAAUCCUCAGCUGCUCUGAUUUGCAAAUUUCUUAAUGAUAAAGAGGUAUCUUGAGCUACCUGACACUCAGCAUAUUUGGUUUCUGUGUUCCGACUUGCAAUACCAAACCAGUGCGUGGAGCCCGACCCACGCUGGCCCUGGUUCCUUGGUUAUGCCACCUUCUUCUCUGCAGUCUUCCAGGGGACCUUGUCCUUGGGAGGAUGCUUUCGCCAAGGGACCCACCUCUCCUCUGCUCUCCUUGGCCCAUUGUGCUGUUCGCCCUUCUCUUUCUGCAUCUCAUUCCUAGCUCUGCGUGUUGUUCUGGUUCCCAGGGUGACGGACUGCUGUUUAUCCCCUUGGUAAACUCCACUUUUCUCUGUUGGUGCCGUGGCAACCUGAGCCACUUGCUCUACAAAUCACAGCCUAUUUAACCGAGCCCUUGUAUUAGUUUAAAAUAGUUUUUGGAGGGUUGUACUUUUUUUCAUGAUAAUAAUUUUUUUUUAAAUCACCUGCUUUGCUUUUUUUCGAUGAAAAGUAUUGCUUUCCUCUGUCUCGUAGCUUCUCAAAGGGCAGAAAGAGAACAACUCCAAGUGUGGCCCACAUUCCAAGGGAAUUGUGUACCACUUGGUGCUGAAGUACUGAGUUCCCAUACAGGGUUUGCCUUCGUCCUGUGCUGAAAUCCGUGAACCUGUUGGGGUUAAGAUCAAAGAAGGGGUUCCCGCUGAAGCUGCUUCCUGAAGAGUGUUUCCUUUUCACACGCGUUCUGCUAAAGGUGAAGUCAGUAUAGGUACGCACUGAGCAUUCAGACUAGGCAGGAGGAAGAUUAGGGAGCCGUAUUUACUGGAUCGUGUGUAGCAUGUGGGAUUUGUGUGUUUCCCAGGGUGGAGAUCUGCUUCACUGCAGAGACUGGGGAGGGUAAAGUUGGAGGCCAGCAACAAACCCUGCCCAGCCAGAACACUGAAGGCAUCUCAGUGAGGGUCUUUGGGUUUUGUUGUUUGUGUUGAGGUCCUUCCUAAAUGAUGCAGAAUUUUCCUUGAAAGGUGGGAAAUUGUUGCCAUGAUGAGAAGCAGAGAAGUUGAAAAGUGAGUCCAUGCGUGCUGAUGGGAUGAGAGGGCCCGUUUUUCUGAGCCUGGGACGGGGCCUGCGUUCAGGGUGGCCUGGACAGCCUCACUCCCUUCCCGUGCUCUCCUGUGAGGCUGCUUGUGACCUAGUCACCUUCUGUGUCAAGUCCUUCCUCUGCAUGACCUCUGGGGUGAUCUGUUAAACCCACCAUCCCAGAUUCUUCAGUGCUGUUCUGCCGACCCACUGCUGCAUAACAACCCACUCCAAAACGUGGUAGCUGAAAAUAAUGGUUUAUGAUGAUCUCUUAACUCUCAUGCUUCUGUGGACUGCCUGGACCCAGCUUAGAGGGUUUUGCCUGAGUCUCUCAGGUGGUCACAUUGAGAGGUUGGCUAGACCUAUAGCCAUCUGAAGACUUGAUGGCCCAGAUGUCCAUGACAGCUCACGCACGUGCCUGGCCUCUCACAGCUGCUAUCAGCUCAGCUGGAGCUGCGGGCGGAAGCGUCUGCACACGGCCUCUCCAUACAGCCUGGGCUUCUCCCAGCGUGCUGGUUGGCUUCCAAGAGGAAGCUCCUAAGAACUCAGGCAGAAGUUCCAGGAUCACUUCUGCCACAUUCUGUGAGUCCGUCUUUGGAAGAUGCUGUCUGCUUCCCAUCACCUACCUCCAGCUGAAAGCUUCAGCGUCUAAGCAAAGCUGCAGGGGCCUUUGAGGACCAAAGGGGGCAAACCAAAUACGUCUCCAUCCGAAAUGAAAAUAGCUUUGUUGAGUUCCAACGGGGGAAUAAAAUGUAGAGACUUAACAUUUAGAUUUCAAACUUGUUGCAUAGAAAAAUGUCAAGGGGAAGUUUGGUGCUGCUUUUCAGCUCCUGAAAUCCUGUCUUCUUGGCUUCUCUGAGAAGUUCACGAAGCUUAGACAGCUUGGUAAUUUUCAUCCUUUCCGUGUGCUUGAUGUGUUUAGAGACAACAGUGUGCACUCACAUGCAUGGCCGCAUUUCAUGUUGUCAUCAUCCUUGCACAGAUGGGAAACUGAGGCUCAGAGAGGCCUCUUGCUUUCUCAAGUUAUUGGCGGAGCUGGGGCUGACGUCGCUUCAUCUGCACAGGGCCCUGUUUGUGUGUCUGACCCGACACCUCCCUGCCACUCCUCUCUUCCUCUAGAAAUAUGAAGUAGGCUCUUCCAUGCCUUCCUGCCUCUGCUCACGCUGUUCCUCCUCUAGGAAACCCUGUCCCUACACACACACCUUCCUCCACUCCUGACUCAUGCUCAGCCUUCAGGCACAGCCUCGGAGGCCAGCUUGGGCAGGGGUCUCCUAACUGCACCCUCUCUGCAACAGCAAGAGUCCCCUUUUUUCCUCUUCCCACAGUGAAGUAUUUCAUGCUUGUCUCUCCCCUAGUCUGUGAACCCUCAGGGUCUUAUCUCCUGCUGUAAAUGUGAAUUAUUAUCAGUUGUUAACUCAUCCUUGAGAAACCGUUUCUGUUCCUCACCCCUUACCUACAACCUGUAAUUCUAAUAUUCUGGCAGACUUCAAGCUGCCCUGCUACUCUGGCAGCAAAAGUCUUCUACUAAAAUAGAUCACCCAUAAACCACCACUGAAACUGAGCCAGGGAUUUGGUACGAGUUCAAAAGUAGAAAUUAUUUUGUGUUAAUGAGAAACCAUAUUGCAAAGACUUGGGAGGAGCGGAAAGAUGGAACGUAUCAGCUGUUAGAUUUAAACCAGAUCUGUUUCCAGCGUUAAUGUAGGGAAUUCAUCGUAAUACUAGUUACCAUAAAUAAUUUUUAAUUGGCAUAUGUAUUGGUUAGAUGCAUAUUUAAAGUGAAAACAUGAAAAAGGAGAUGCUGUUUUCGUCACUUGUUUUUGGAUCGGCACCUGCCUGCUCCGGGUGAGAACUUGUUCCGAUGGUGUGUCUGGAUCAGGACCAGCAAUGAAAAGGUUAGACCCUGGGCGUGGCACCAGCUCAUGCGGCAGACAUCAAUUGUCAUGUCCAGUCAGGUUAUGCUUUUUCCUUCCAUUCUGAAUGUUACAUCUUCUCGGACAUUGUAUGUCCACACCUUCAUUCUCCCAUGUGAACAGAGCCUCCCACAAAUUAUAAAUAAAGUUGACAGUAAGAACUGACUGGAUUAAACAAAAGGUAAACAGGUUUCUUUUUAAGGCACCAGGAACUGUAGAAGACCUACAGAAAUAGGAAUGCUGCCAUCCUUGUGCCUUGACCUUGAGAAUCAACUUGGGUUUCUUUCUGAUUGUUACUAGAAUGCUUCCUGAAUGCACAAACAUGGUGUACUUUUAUUGCAUGGCACCUCAGAGCAUCUUAAAGAUUUUAAUUAAUUAAAAUACCUUGUGAGUCUUCCGUUGAGAAGAGAAGGCAACAUGACCCAAACAGAUUUAACCACAAACCCCUGCCCUUUGCUUUCCCCUCACAAAGCACUUUCCUAGAGUGAUGCUGGAGUCUGUCUGUAACUUCACAGUGAGAUGACUUGUAUGACAAGCAUAAAGUGUACAAGGUCCACACAGCGGUGGGGCUCAGAACCUGGAGCUUUGGAGGCAAAUACACUGGAGUUUGAGUUCAUUUCUUAGUUAUGCAGCUUACUGACUCAGUGAUUUGGGACAGUCUUUAAAAAUCUCCCUGAGACCUGAUUUUCUCAUUGGUCAGAAGAGUUGAUGAUGUGUAUCUAAUAGAGUUGUGAUUAUUAAUAAAGUAAUACGUGUAAAGAGCCUUGCAUGUAAUCCUGGUUACAGUUUCUUCAGUGACUGCAGAGGUAGUAGUCAGAUUAGAUAUAUUAGUGAGUCAGAGAAAUUAGAUGUCAGCCUGUUCUUUAUGAAGCUUGCUUCUUUUAGCCAUGCGUUUCCUCUGUUUAAUAAAAUUGGUGAUUACAUUUGAAUCAAGUUUUUGAAUAUAAAACUCAUUAAAGGAAGAAUGUGUCUCAUUAUCUUUGUAUGUAUCUGACCAUGAGUAGUUAAUAAAUGUUUAUUACAUUUAGUGGAAAGUUUUUAAUAUUAAAAUUAAUUUGACAUCUGUAUCUAAUGCAACAGACUGUUUUGUCAGUUGUUAAAUGAUGGAGAAUGUUAGUGCAUUUUUUGGGGAAAAAAAAGAGUUGGCGUAUAGUUGACUUUCAUUAUGUGUGAGAGUUGUUCUCUAGAAAUUCACUGCAAACACUAAACCAUUGCUCCUAGGAGAAACCCAGGGUUACCUUCCUGUGAGUCUCUGGUCAAAUCAUUUUUGUCAUUUUUGCAUAGCCUUGUUUUA